rnacentral:rRNA from 1 species
UACGUAGGGUGCAAGCGUUAAUCGGAAUUACUGGGCGUAAAGCGUGCGCAGGCGGCUUUGCAAGCCAGAUGUGAAAUCCCCGGGCUCAACCUGGGAACUGCAUUUGUGACUGCAAGGCUGGAGUACGGCAGAGGGGGAUGGAAUUCCGCGUGUAGCAGUGAAAUGCGUAGAUAUGCGGAGGAACACCGAUGGCGAAGGCAAUCCCCUGGGCCUGUACUGACGCUCAUGCACGAAAGCGUGGGGAGUAAACAGG